rnacentral:lncRNA from 1 species
CCACGGAAUCUGGGCUGCCUCUAGAAGCUGGAAAACGGAAGCAACAGAUGCUCCCCGGCAGCCUUCUGAAAGAACACAGCCCUGCUGACACCUUAACUUUAGUCCAAAAGCACAAGCAAGAAUGUGUGAGAAGAUCACAGAGACCUAAAGAAGGGGAAGGGAAGAACCCACAUGUGAGAGAGAAGAGAUUGUCUGACUUGGUGUUGCGCCUUAAAGCACUAUCCAAUAAACCUCCUACAUGCAAAUCUCCAUCUCAGAAUCUGUAUCCAAGAGAUUCUACUCAAGACAUCAUCUUUUCCAGUCAGUGUUCCUAAUUGCACUGCCCCUGGAAAACGCACGGAGAAGAAAUACAGCAAAAUACAUGAGAUGGUGAAACACUCUGGCAACUGCAAGCGGACAGAUGGGAUCUGGGAGGGACUCCCAUCUUCUGCAUGGCAUCAGCACAAGGGUGAAGAGGGAAGAUAAAGGAUCAUGCAGGGAGUUUCAUGGACUAGGCCUGGAAGUGCCAUAUUCCACUGCUGCUUGUGUUCCAGAAGGCAGCCGCACAGCCACAAGGGAUUGUAAAGGAAGCUGAAAAAUAUGAUCGAGCAUUGUGUCUGGGAAGAGAGGGAAAUGGGUAUGGUGCAUGACUAACCAGUGUUUGUCACAGCACAGAAAGUAAGGUAUAAAGGAAACAACUCACUCUGUAUUCCCUAAGACAGUUGUGCUAAUAGCAUUAGCAGAAUUGUUAAUGUUAGCAGAAAUAACAGUUAAUUGUUCAGGUGUAGAACCCCCAGGGUGAGCUGGGAAUUCUCUCUUGAAUGACAGUCUUCCAUUUUGUCUCUUCUUCUUAGUCUUUUCUGCCAUUGCCUUUGUUCAGAUCUUUUCUACCUUGUGUCCAGCUUGCUGGAACCUCCACCUUCCUGGCCUGAAAGAACUAGCUUGUGAACAUGUAUCAUGUUUGCUUUCUUCUGCAAGUUGGCUCAUACAUUUUAUUAUUACCUAAUGCUGCGUAAAAACUCAUUCCAAAACUCAGUGGCUUAAAACAGCAGUAAAUUUUUAUAUCUCUCCUGGUUUCUGUGGGUCAGGAAUUUGGGGAGCAGCUUAGCUGGGUGGUUUUGGUUUGGGGUUUCUCUUGGGGUUGAACUGAGAUAUCUGCUGGGCUCUGCAGUCAUCUGAAAACUUACUGGGGGCUCAAGGUGGUUCACACAUGUGGAUGGCAAGUUGGUACUGGCUGUUGGCAAGAUGUCUCAGUAUCUCUCUAAGCAGGCCUCUCUUCACGGCUGCUUGAGUGACUUCAUGGAAUGGUGGCUGAAUUCUCCCAGAAUAAAUGAUUCAAGAGCCAAGGUAAAGCCAUAUGCCCUUUAUAACCGGGCCUCGGAAAUCCCUCACUGUCACCUCUGCCAUACUCUACUGUUCAUGUGAAUGACCCUGAUUCAGUGUGGGAAGAGACUAUGCAGGGCAUAAUACCAGAAGGCAAAAAUCACUGGGGGCAAUUUGGGAGGCUGGCCACCACACAGACUGCAUUUCAACUAUGCACCUCCCUCAAUCUCAACUUUUUCCAUACUCUCUCACUUUCUCUUCCACUUUCUGUAUUCAGAUCAAAGCCCAUCGCUUCAUGAAGUAUGCCCUGACCACUCAGCAACUAGCACUCCCAUUGCAAUUCAUUGUUCUUGCCACAUAUAUGGUCUUUAUAAUUUAACACCCUGCUUUGAAGAUGUACACGUGUGUCUUUUCUUUCAGAUGGAAUUUAAAGAAUCGUACACUAUACUCCCUGUCAUAUAGUAGGCACUCAAUAAAUAUUUUUUCUACGGAUGAAUGAAUGAGUGAAUGAAGAGUACAAGCCAGAAUCCCUGUGUCCCUACCUGUGGGCUUUUCCCUUGCUGCUUGACCUUAGUGAAGUCACUCCACCUCUCAGUCUGCUAACUCCUUCAUAAAAUGAAGAUAAUUAUACCCACCCCAGCUGUCACAGACAUGCUUUGACAUUUGAAAGAGGCAGCACUUAUAAAAGUGUUUUCGAGUGUAUAAAGAACAGGGCAAGGUGGUGUUAGUUACCUGGUUCACAAGUGAUGGCUGACAUGUAUGGCACUGUCAUGGGAUUCAGAUCAGUCAAUCCCUCUGACUCCCGCCUCAAGAAACAGUUCACACCUACACCAAGCUACACAAAGAGUCUUUGUUCAUUCCAACAGCUGCUCCUUCAGCACGUCAUGGUCACGAUCAGGAGAGGCCCUGGGCAGAGAGAACUGCCUGGUCCGGGUUGCUAGGCCCCUUCACAGUCACACUCUGGAGAUGUCAAAGCCCAAAGGCAAAGUUUAUUUCUCUAGUAGAAUUCUCAGGUUUCCUUUCCCUUCGUACACUCUGGUUUUAUAAUGUUUUUAUUAUAGAUAAUUGUCUAGGGAUAAUUUUUUUUUGCAUCUAACUCUUUUAAAUAAAAAUUAACAUAAAGUAAA